GCUGCAGCUCGGGCAGCCCAUCAGCGCCGUGGCAGGCCUCCAGGCAGACGGGCACACGAUCGCCUUCCUGGGGGACACCCAGGGUCAGCUGCAUAAGGUCUUUCUCAAUGGCUCCCAAGGCCAGGUGUACCACUCCCAGCAAGUGGGGCCUCUGGGCUCAGCCAUCAGCCCAGACCUGCUGGUGGACAGCAGCGGCAGCCACCUCUAUGUCCUGACUGCCCAGCAGGUGGACCGGGUACCCGUGGCAGCCUGCCCCCAGUUCCCUGACUGUACCAGCUGCCUUCAGGCCCGGGACCCACUGUGUGGCUGGUGCGUCCUCCAGGGCAGGUGCACCCGCAAGGGCCAAUGUGGGCGGGCCGCCCAGGCCAACCAGUGGCUGUGGAGCUAUGAGGACAGCCACUGCCCGCACGUGCAGAGCCUGCUGCCGGCCCAGCGCCCCCGC